CCGCCUGGGGAGUACGGUCGCAAGAUUAAAACUCAAAUGAAUUGACGGGGGCCCGCACAAGCGGUGGAGCAUGUGGUUUAAUUCGAUGCAACGCGAAGAACCUUACCUACUCUUGACAUCCAGAGAAUCUAGCGGAGACGCUGGAGUGCCUUCGGGAACUCUGAGACAGGUGCUGCAUGGCUGUCGUCAGCUCGUGUUGUGAAAUGUUGGGUUAAGUCCCGCAACGAGCGCAACCCUUAUCCUUGUUUGCCAGCGAGUAAUGUCGGGAACUC
rnacentral:rRNA from 13 species